UACGAAGGGGGCUAGCGUUGCUCGGAAUCACUGGGCGUAAAGCGCACGUAGGCGGAUCUUUAAGUCAGGGGGUGAAAUCCCAAGGCUCAACCUUGGAACUGCCUUUGAUACUGGGGAUCUCGAGUCCGGAAGAGGUGAGUGGAACUGCGAGUGUAGAGGUGAAAUUCGUAGAUAUUCGCAAGAACACCAGUGGCGAAGGCGGCUCACUGGUCCGGUACUGACGCUGAGGUGCGAAAGCGUGGG
rnacentral:rRNA from 1 species